rnacentral:rRNA from 1 species
GACGAACGCUGGCGGCGUGCCUAAUACAUGCAAGUCGAGCGAGCUUGCCUAGAUGAUUUUAGUGCUUGCACUAAAUGAAACUAGAUACAAGCGAGCGGCGGACGGGUGAGUAACACGUGGGUAACCUGCCCAAGAGACUGGGAUAACACCUGGAAACAGAUGCUAAUACCGGAUAACAACACUAGACGCAUGUCUAGAGUUUGAAAGAUGGUUCUGCUAUCACUCUUGGAUGGACCUGCGGUGCAUUAGCUAGUUGGUGAGGUAAUGGCUCACCAAGACAGUGAUGCAUAGCCGACCUGAGAGGGUGAUCGGCCACAUUGGGACUGAGAUACGGCCCAG